CUUGCUUCUCUUGAGAGCGGCGGACGGGUGAGUAAUGCCUAGGAAUCUGCCUGGUAGUGGGGGAUAACGUUCGGAAACGGACGCUAAUACCGCAUACGUCCUACGGGAGAAAGCACGGGGACCUUCGGGCCUUGGGUAAUGGCUCACCAAGGCGACAAUCCGUAACUGGUCUGAGAGGAUGCACCAAGGCGACGAUCCGUAACUGGUCUGAGAGGAUGAUCAGUCACACUGGAACUGAGACACGGUCCAGACUCCUACGGGAGGCAGCAGUGGGGAAUAUUGGACAAUGGGCGAAAGCCUGAUCCAGCCAUGCCGCGUGUGUGAAGAAGGUCUUCGGAUUGUAAAGCACUUUAAGUUGGGAGGAAGGGCAGUUGCCUAAUACGUAACUGUUUUGACGUUACCGACAGAAUAAGCACCGGCUAACUCUGUGCCAGCAGCCGCGGUAAUACAGAGGGUGCAAGCGUUAAUCGGAAUUACUGGGCGUAAAGCGCGCGUAGGUGGUUUGUUAAGUUGGAUGUGAAAUCCCCGGGCUCAACCUGGGAACUGCAUUCAAAACUGACUGACUAGAGUAUGGUAGAGGGUGGUGGAAUUUCCUGUGUAGCGGUGAAAUGCGUAGAUAUAGGAAGGAACACCAGUGGCGAAGGCGACCACCUGGACUGAUACUGACACUGAGGUGCGAAAGCGUGGGGAGCAAACA
rnacentral:rRNA from 2 species